rnacentral:rRNA from 1 species
ACGGGUGAGUAACACGUGGGUAACCUGCCCAUAAGACUGGGAUAACUCCGGGAAACCGGGGCUAAUACCGGAUAACAUUUUGAACCGCAUGGUUCGAAAUUGAAAGGCGGCUUCGGCUGUCACUUAUGGAUGGACCCGCGUCGCAUUAGCUAGUUGGUGAGGUAACGGCUCACCAAGGCAACGAUGCGUAGCCGACCUGAGAGGGUGAUCGGCCACACUGGGACUGAGACUCGGCCCAGACUCCUACGGGAGGCAGCAGUAGGGAAUCUUCCGCAAUGGACGAAAGUCUGACGGAGCAACGCCGCGUGAGUGAUGAAGGCUUUCGGGUCGUAAAACUCUGUUGUUAGGGAAGAACAAGUGCUAGUUGAAUAAGCUGGCACCUUGACGGUACCUAACCAGAAAGCCACGGCUAACUACGUGCCAGCAGCCGCGGUAAUACGUAGGUGGCAAGCGUUAUCCGGAAUUAUUGGGCGUAAAGCGCGCGCAGGUGGUUUCUUAAGUCUGAUGUGAAAGCCCACGGCUCAACCGUGGAGGGUCAUUGGAAACUGGGAGACUUGAGUGCAGAAGAGGAAAGUGGAA